AUGGACGUCCUCCUCCUGCAUGUCCUCACAUCAUCUUCCCAUGGCUGUCUCCCCCUGUAUUUCCUCACGUGGUCUUCUCAUGGAUGUCUUCCCCCUGCGUGGCCUCAUGUCAUCUUCCUGGGGCCGUCCUCCCCCUGCAUGUCUUCACAUCAUCUUCCCAUGGAUGUCCUCCCCCUGCGUGUCUUUCCAUCCUCUCCCCAUGGUCGUCCUCCCUCUGUGUGCUCUCACUUCAUCUUCCCGUGGAUGUCCUCCCACUGUGUGUCCUCAUGUGGGCUUCCUGUGGCCAUUCCACCCCCGCCCCCCCCGCCGCGUGUCCUCACAUCAUCUUCCCGUGGCUGCCUCCCCCUAUGUCUCUUAAAAUUGUCUUCACGUGGCUGUCCUCCCCCUGCACGUCCUCACGUGGUCUUCCUGUGGCCGUCCUCCCCCGUGUGUCUUCAUGUACUCUUCCCAUGGCCAUCCUCCCCCUGUGUUUCCUCACAUGGUCUUCUCAUGGACAUCUUUCCCCUGCACGGCCUCACACCAUAUCUUCCUGUGGUCACCCUCCCCCUGCAUGUCUUCACAUCAUCUUCCCAUGGACAUCCUCCCCCUGCGUGUCCUCAUGUCAUCUUCCUGUGGACAUCCUCCCCUUGUGUGUCUUCAUGUGGUCUUCCCAUGGCCAUGCCCCCACCCCUGUGCGUCCUCACAUCAUCUUCCCCUGGCUGUUUCCCCCUGCAUGGCUUCAAAUCAUCUUCACAUGGCUGUCUUCCUCCUGUGUGUCCUCACGGGGUCUUCCCAUGGCCAUCCUCCCCCUGCGUGUCUUUAUAUCCUCUUCCUGUGGCCAUUCUCCCCGUGUGUGUUCUCAUAUCCUCUUCCUGUGGCUCUCCUCCCCUUGUGUGUCCUCACAUCAUCUUCCCGUGGCCAUCUUCCCCCUGCUGUCCUCACAUCAUCUUCCUGUGGCCGUCCUCCCCCGUGUGUCCUCACAUCAUCUUCCCAUGGCCAUCUUCUGCUGCGUGUCCUCACGUCCUCUUCCCAUGGCUGUCCUCCCCCUGCAUGUCCUCACAUAGUCUUCCCUCUGUAAGUGUCUAUCUGGGGGUCCACGUUUCUCCUUUUUAUAUGGAUAUUGGACUAGGGCCCACCCUAAUGACUUCAUUUUAA
rnacentral:lncRNA from 1 species